UACGAGGGGGGCGAGCGUUGUUCGGAAUUAUUGGGCGUAAAGGGUGCGUAGGCGGUUUGGUAAGUCUUAUGUGAAAUCUAUGGGCUCAACUCAUAGUCUGCAUGAGAAACUGCCGGGCUUGAGUAUGGGAGAGGUGAGUGGAAUUCCUGGUGUAGCGGUGAAAUGCGUAGAUAUCAGGAGGAACACCUGUGGCGAAAGCGGCUCACUGGACCAUAACUGACGCUGAUGCACGAAAGCUAGGGGGAGCAAACAGG
rnacentral:rRNA from 1 species